CUUCUCUGAAAACACAAACAGAAAACAGAAGGUUCAACAAUGAAGAUGGUGAAGCGUUCUUAUCUAUAAGUAGAAGAAUUUUAGCGUCGCCCAACCUGUUUGAGGUGUUCACUGAGUGCGAUACGAAGGCUGCCGUUGCGGUGGUUUAGCAUCUCGCAGGUCAUCAGAGUGUAGAAGAUGGCGGUGCAGGUAAGUGGGACACAAAAGUAAAAACCAAACAGCCACCAGUCCUUUGCAUCUCUGUAGAACUAGAGGGAGAAUACACAUGUAUGGUCUCUGUAUUUCAAGGUUUAUAAAUGUUUAUUCUCCUAGGAAAUCCAAAGUAUUCUUUUCUGAACUCAACAUUCUUCAUGAGUCAUUUAUGAUUUAUAUCUGAAACUGUAUUUACAUGUCCCUAAAAGUCAGAACUGAAAGCUAUUCAAGGUGACAGCAGAAGUCUCAUGUUUGUAAUGAAACCUCCACAAACACCAUCUGGCUGCUGUUGUCUUGGUGUGCCAGUGAAGUUUAUGGGAAAUCUGCUCAUAAGUAGAAAAUCAAGCUGGUUCCAAUUAUGCAGCGUAAAAUAAAAGCUUGUGGUUGUAAAAAAAAACAAAAAACGUAAGAAAAAUAUGCUAUUCCAAAACCCAGAUAUCCUGGUGAGGAAUUUUUCACACGAUCUGCCCUCUACUUUACAGAGCCACUUAUAAAUCCAUCAUUUGGCCUGAAAUUUUCCAUCCCAUAAAUCCUGUAGGGGAAUAAACACCAAAACAAAGUUAAAAUGUUGAAUCAAACUGGAAAACCGGGGAGCAGGAUUCUUAAAGGGGAGGACUGCAUCGAUGUCCUGCAGAGGUUAUAUCAGGUUUGUCUGUGUGGACGAGCACAUGUGGCUACUUGAGGGCCAAAGGUCGUAAUUGGACUUGGCCUGCAAUCAAUUAUCUGCAUCAGGCAUGCGGAGAGGCCACAGCUCCGAGGAGGGAGAGCAGGAAAGAAAAACCUCUGCAUUCAAACCUGAGGAGAGGCUUUAGUCCAAAAAAAUGGACUAAGGUGGCAAAAUGUCUGAUGAAGUUUUGGCCAGUUGAAGUUCUGCUUUAUACCUGAUGAACUGCAACUGGACUGAAAACUGGACGGAGGGAAGAAAUGGGAGAAUUUACCACCAUGAAGCUGUUGGUCGGGUUGAGCAUGCAGGUGCGCAUGGUGUUGUUACUGUAGUUGAAGGAGACCAUGUCGAAGCAGACAGCCUCAGGCACUGCCAGGAUCAGAGACAGCACCCAGAUGGACACGAUCUCGAUGACGGUGAGCAAAGGGAUGCCCACCCCCUGCACUCGGCUCCAGGAAGCCACAGCUCGGUACCUGUGAGGCAAACGGAUCCACAGAUACCAUCAUGGAUUCAUCAUUAAACAGCAGUGACAAAGAGACUCUCUGCCUGCCAGCGUCCCAAACACCACAAACUGCUCAGUCAGCAGACGAUCAGCAGAAUGGGAAGAAUUCAUGAGGAGAGAUGAUCAAUUGUUUAUUUUCAAUAUCAAAUAUUUAUAUUUUCGUGAAGCCGCCAAACUGGCUGGCCCAUGUUGGCAGAUCUCUGCAUGUUGGCUUCUGUUUGCUGCGCACUAAAUAAAUAGUUUGCUUGUUUGUUUCAUUAAUGGAAAACAACUUGUCGAAAUGUUUUAGUAAAACCGAGCAUCAAGAUUUUAUGGCAAAACAAUAUAUUUUUCAUGAUACAUUUGAAUUUCCCUGUUGAACAACAUGGCGGCAUCUAUAUUUUACCAAGAGGUCUUGUAUCCACCUUUCCCUAUUGUUGUAGCAGUAAAAUGAUGCAGAGGGACUGAAAUAGCUCCUAAUAUGUAUUCAAACAAAUUUGCUUCAUAUUUCCAGGAACAAAGAGAGAAGAUGUGCUUCUGAAGCAACCAAACAGCUUAUUGGUCUUUCUCAUAAUGGAGGUCAUUAAACCCAUCUGGCUUGUUGAACCUUGGAGUCUUUUUAAAGAUGGUGGUGCAUUAAGUGACAUGACGAUGAACUUCACCUCUUCUGGGCCAUCAUUUAUUCAUUGCAAUGUUCUUUUAAGGCACCAUUUAACUCAUUAGCAUCCUAGCUAACCGUUCCAGUGACUAUACACAUGAACAAACUACACAAUGGCCUCCAUAACCCUUAGCCCUGUUUGUAUAGAUGUCUGAAAAAUGUUUUAUCACAUUUAAAGCAGUGAGAUCGGACCUGUA